UUCAUUAUAACUCUCUUGGCACCACAGAACUUUACACUUCUGUUUUUAAUCAAACUGUGUUGUUUUUUAAGGAGCUGAACUAGUCAUACUAUCACAUAUGGCAUAAAGGUUUAGAACCAUUCUCCGGGAGAGAGUAUAAAACGAUGCAAGUUAUUGGCCCCACACAAAGCAAAUCGUUGGAUUGUGCUUUUUUUAUAAUGCGCUAUGCAGAGAGUUUGAUGUUCCGGAGAUCUACA